rnacentral:rRNA from 1 species
UACGGGGGGGGCAAGCGUUGUUCGGAAUUACUGGGCGUAAAGGGCUCGUAGGUGGCCAACUAAGUCAGACGUGAAAUCCCUCGGCUUAACCGGGGAACUGCGUCUGAUACCGGAUGGCUUGAGUUUGGGAGAGGGAUGCGGAAUUCCAGGUGUAGCGGUGAAAUGCGUAGAUAUCUGGAGGAACACCGGUGGCGAAGGCGGCAUCCUGGACCAACACUGACGCUGAGUGAGCGAAAGCCAGGGGAGCAAACGGG